ACGCCGGUAGUGCAACGGGUUAGAGAAUGCGCCCCUGGAUAGAGUGAAAUGCGGGUUCGAAUCCCCGCCUGGCGCG